rnacentral:lncRNA from 1 species
UUGUAAGCACGUGGCCUUGGAAAAAUGGAAAAAAAAAAAAUUCAUCUUUGCUUAGGCCCUGUCCUGUUUGUUUCGGUGAGCGAUUUAGCGAUUAAGUCGGUUUGAUAAUCAUUUUUUAAGGUCUGAAUUGUUUAAUUAAUUUCACUAUUUUUGCACUGAAUAGGUAAACUAGUUGUCUGAAUGAAUUUUUACGGAUGUUGUCACAAAACCCACAACUCAGAAAACCAACAAGAUCGUGCCCAACCCCUCAAAGGCCGACGACACUGCACCAUCGAAAUUAUAAUUUGCACAAAAUUACAAAUGGGUUUAUCGAUCCAAUAACAGAUGAAUCAAAAUCAAAUCAAAUACACAAUCCAGGAAGAAGUGAUGAAUGAAUGAGAGGAAAAUGGUAUCCUCCAAGUGUUUGGUGGAAGGUUGAUUCGGGGGUAGGCCAGAGGCAGACAACAUCAAAUAUUGAGUCUCUGAGGGUGAGUUUGAAAAUUGGUGGCCAGAGUAUCAUGUAAUAUCAGCCGAUGUUUUGACGUUUUCCCUUUGUUUCUCUUUACUUCCAUUCACUUUUCGAUUAUUCAUUCAGAUCAUCAUCUGUUCACCGGCCCGGCCAGGCCAAGUAAUUUGUUCGUUUUGAUGGUUGCAGAAGAGCUGGUCAACUAGGUUAUAAAAGAUAAAUUGUAUUGAAGGUAGUAAGCUACUAUACAUAUUCCACAAAAAUAAUUUUAUUCAUAACAAAUUUAUUAUACAAAUAAUA